rnacentral:rRNA from 1 species
UACGGAGGGUGCAAGCGUUAUCCGGAAUCACUGGGUUUAAAGGGUGCGUAGGCGGUCUGAUAAGUCAGUUGUGAAAUUCCUCGGCUUAACCGAGUGGACUGCGAUUGAUACUGUUAGACUUGAAUCAGGUUGAGGUAGGCGGAAUGUGACAUGUAGCGGUGAAAUGCUUAGAUAUGACAUAGAACACCGAUUGCGAAGGCAGCUUGCUGGGCUUCGAUUGACGCUGAGGCACGAAAGCGUGGGGAGCAAACAGG